rnacentral:rRNA from 1 species
UACAGAGACCUCAAGCGUUAUCCGGAUUUACUGGGCGUAAAGCGUCCGCAGGUGGCCGCGCAAGUCAUCGGUUAAAUCUCUGGGCUCAACCCAGAGGCUGCCGGUGAUACUGCGAGGCUUGAGGAUGGGAGAGGUACGCGGAAUUGCCGGUGUAGUAGUAAAAUGCGUUAAUAUCGGCAAGAACACCGAAGGCGAAGGCAGCGUACUGGAACAUUCCUGACACUCAUGGACGAAAGCGUGGGGAGCGAAUGAG